CAGGUCUGUAUAUGUGUGUGUGUGUGUGUGUGUGUGUGUGUACAUACAUACAUACAUACACACACACACACACACACACACACACACACACACACAACCACAUAU
ensembl:miRNA Gm23178 predicted gene, 23178